rnacentral:rRNA from 1 species
AGAGUUUGAUCAUGGCUCAGAAUGAACGCUGGCGGCGUGCUUAACACAUGCAAGUCGUACGAGAACACCCUAGCUGCUAGGGUAAGUAAAGUGGCGCACGGGUGAGUAACGCGUGGGUAAUCUACCUUCGAAUUGGGGAUAACGUUGCGAAAGCGACGCUAAUACCGAAUAACAUCCAUUAAUCUUCGGGUUUUUGGAUCAAGGGUGGCCUCUACAUGUAAGCUACUGUUUGAAGAUGAGCCCGCGUACCAUUAGCUUGUUGGUGGGGUAAUGGCCUACCAAGGCAGCGAUGGUUAGCUGGUCUGAGGGGAUGAUCAGCCACACUGGAACUGACACACGGUCCAGACUCCUACGGGAGGCAGCAGUGAGGAAUUUUGCGCAAUGGGGGAAACCCUGACGCAGCAACGCCGCGUGAGUGAUGAAGGCUUUCGGGUCGUAAAGCUCUGUCAAGUGGGAAGAACCUGCAGUAUGCUAAUAUCAUAUUGCACUGACGGUACCACUGAAGGAAGCACCGGCUAACUCCGUGCCAGCAGCCGCGGUAAUACGGAGGGUGCAAGCGUUGUUCGGAAUUAUUGGGCGUAAAGAGCAUGUAGGCGGCCUGUUAAGUCUGGUGUGAAAGCCCGGGGCUCAACCCCGGAAGUGCAUUGGAUACUGGCAGACUUGAGUAUGGGAGAGGGAAGUG